rnacentral:rRNA from 1 species
GGUUAAGCGACUAAGCGUACACGGUGGAUGCCCUGGCAGUCAGAGGCGAUGAAGGACGUGCUAAUCUGCGAUAAGCGCCGGUAAGGUGAUAUGAACCGUUAUAACCGGCGAUUUCCGAAUGGGGAAACCCAGUGUGAUUCGUCACACUAUCAUUAACUGAAUCCAUAGGUUAAUGAGGCGAACCGGGGGAACUGAAACAUCUAAGUACCCCGAGGAAAAGAAAUCAACCGAGAUUCCCCCAGUAGCGGCGAGCGAACGGGGAGGAGCCCAGAGCCUGAAUCAGCAUGUGUGUUAGUGGAAGCGUCUGGAAAGGCGCGCGAUACAGGGUGACAGCCCCGUACACAAAAGCGCAUGUGCUGUGAGCUCGAUGAGUAGGGCGGGACACGUGGUAUCCUGUCUGAAUAUGGGGGGACCAUCCUCCAAGGCUAAAUACUCCUGACUGACCGAUAGUGAACCAGUACCGUGAGGGAAAGGCGAAAAGAACCCCGGCGAGGGGAGUGAAAAAGAACCUGAAACCGUGUACGUACAAGCAGUGGGAGCACCCUUCGGGGUGUGACUGCGUACCUUUUGUAUAAUGGGUCAGCGACUUAUAUUCUGUAGCAAGGUUAACCGUAUAGGGGAGCCGCAGGGAAACCGAGUCUUAAUUGGGCGUUAAGUUGCAGGGUAUAGACCCGAAACCCGGUGAUCUAGCCAUGGGCAGGUUGAAGGUUGGGUAACACUAACUGGAGGACCGAACCGACUAAUGUUGAAAAAUUAGCGGAUGACCUGUGGCUGGGGGUGAAAGGCCAAUCAAACCGGGAGAUAGCUGGUUCUCCCCGAAAGCUAUUUAGGUAGCGCCUCGUGAACUCAUCUCCGGGGGUAGAGCACUGUUUCGGCUAGGGGGCCAUCCCGGCUUACCAACCCGAUGCAAACUGCGAAUACCGGAGAAUGUUAUCACGGGAGACACACGGCGGGUGCUAACGUCCGUCGUGAAGAGGGAAACAACCCAGACCGCCAGCUAAGGUCCCAAAGUCAUGGUUAAGUGGGAAACGAUGUGGGAAGGCCCAGACAGCCAGGAUGUUGGCUUAGAAGCAGCCAUCAUUUAAAGAAAGCGUAAUAGCUCACUGGUCGAGUCGGCCUGCGCGGAAGAUGUAACGGGGCUAAACCAUGCACCGAAGCUGCGGCAGCGAACGUAUCACCCAAGACAACUUUACGGAGUUGACGAUUGACGGAGCGAAGCGACGUCAAAGCGUUCAUUAAAGUCGAGUUGGCUUAGGGAUACGUUCGUUGGGUAGGGGAGCGUUCUGUAAGCCUGCGAAGGUGGCCUGUGAGGGUUGCUGGAGGUAUCAGA